UUCGCAAUGCCCGAAAGGGUGACGAAGCGACGCUGCGUGUGGGAAGAAGGCCUUCGGGUUGUAAACCACUGUCGGGAGUUAAGAAAUGUAAGGGUGUUAAUAGUAUCCUUACUUGACUAAGGCUCCGGAGGAAGCCACGGCUAACUCUGUGCCAGCAGCCGCGGUAAUACAGAGGCGGCAAGCGUUGUUCGGAAUUAUUGGGCGUAAAGAGCACGUAGGCGGCUGUGUAAGUCGGUUGUGAAAGCCUUCUGCUCAACGGAAGAACAGCAGCCGAUACUGCAUAGCUUGAGUGCGGGAGGGGAGAGCGGAACUUCUGGUGGAGCGGUGAAAUGCGUAGAUAUCAGAAGGGACGCCGGCGGCGAAAGCGACUCUCUGGCCCGUAACUGACGCUGAGUGUGCGAAAGCUAGGGGAGCAAACGGGAUUAGAUACCCCGGUAGUCCUAGCCGUAAACGAUGGGCACUAAGUAGAGGGGUUUU
rnacentral:rRNA from 1 species